GGCGUGCUUAACACAUGCAAGUCGAACGAUGAAGCCCAGCUUGCUGGGUGGAUUAGUGGCGAACGGGUGAGUAACACGUGAGCAACCUGCCCCUGACUCUGGGAUAAGCGCUGGAAACGGCGUCUAAUACUGGAUAUGUCCCGUCACCGCAUGGUGUGCGGGUGGAAAGAUUUUUCGGUUGGGGAUGGGCUCGCGGCCUAUCAGCUUGUUGGUGAGGUAAUGGCUCACCAAGGCGUCGACGGGUAGCCGGCCUGAGAGGGUGACCGGCCACACUGGGACUGAGACACGGCCCAGACUCCUACGGGAGGCAGCAGUGGGGAAUAUUGCACAAUGGGCGGAAGCCUGAUGCAGCAACGCCGCGUGAGGGAUGACGGCCUUCGGGUUGUAAACCUCUUUUAGCAGGGAAGAAGCGAAAGUGACGGUACCUGCAGAAAAAGCACCGGCUAACUACGUGCCAGCAGCCGCGGUAAUACGUAGGGUGCAAGCGUUAUCCGGAAUUAUUGGGCGUAAAGAGCUCGUAGGCGGUCUGUCGCGUCUGCUGUGAAAUUCCGAGGCUCAACCUCGGGCUUGCAGUGGGUACGGGCAGACUAGAGUGCGGUAGGGGAGAUUGGAAUUCCUGGUGUAGCGGUGGAAUGCGCAGAUAUCAGGAGGAACACCGAUGGCGAAGGCAGAUCUCUGGGCCGUAACUGACGCUGAGGAGCGAAAGGGUGGGGAGCAAACAGGCUUAGAUACCCUGGUAGUCCACCCCGUAAACGUUGGGAACUAGUUGUGGGGUCCUUUCCACGGAUUCCGUGACGC
rnacentral:rRNA from 1 species